ACGGGUGAGUAAUACUUAGGAAUCUGCCUAUUAAUGGGGACAACAUCUCGAAAGGGAUGCUAAUACCGCAUACGCCCUACGGGGGAAAGCAGGGGAUCACUUGUGACCUUGCGUUAAUAGAUGAGCCUAAGUCGGAUUAGCUAGUUGGUGGGGUAAAGGCCUACCAAGGCGACGAUCUGUAGCGGGUCUGAGAGGAUGAUCCGCCACACUGGGACUGAGACACGGCCCAGACUCCUACGGGAGGCAGCAGUGGGGAAUAUUGGACAAUGGGGGGAACCCUGAUCCAGCCAUGCCGCGUGUGUGAAGAAGGCCUUAUGGUUGUAAAGCACUUUAAGCGAGGAGGAGGCUCUCUUGGUUAAUACCCAAGAAGAGUGGACGUUACUCGCAGAAUAAGCACCGGCUAACUCUGUGCCAGCAGCCGCGGUAAUACAGAGGGUGCGAGCGUUAAUCGGAUUUACUGGGCGUAAAGCGUGCGUAGGCGGCUUUUUAAGUCGGAUGUGAAAUCCCCGAGCUUAACUUGGGAAUUGCAUUCGAUACUGGGAAGCUAGAGUAUGGGAGAGGAUGGUAGAAUUCCAGGUGUAGC
rnacentral:rRNA from 1 species